UUCCUUUUCUUCUUUUUGUGAUCUUUGUGUCUUCAUCAAAACCGUGUCAAGGUCAGGAGCAAGAUCUUCUUCACAAUCUCCCCCUUUUUGAUGAUGACAAACCAAUAUCUUUUGAAAUUUGAGAUCUUAAUUUUUCUUGAGGUUUAGCUUAUGUAAAGGAUAUAACUUUUUUGAAAGUUCGAAUAUGCUCCCCCUAUCUUGUAUACUCCCUAUUUGUUUU
rnacentral:lncRNA from 1 species